UACGUAGGGGGCUAGCGUUGUCCGGAUUUAUUGGGCGUAAAGGGCGUGUAGGCGGCCUGGUAGGCUGCUGUGAAAACUCGAGGCUCAACCUCGAGAUGUCGGCGGAAACCAUCUGGCUAGAGUCCGGAAGAGGAGAGUGGAAUUCCUGGUGUAGCGGUGAAAUGCGCAGAUAUCAGGAAGAACACCUAUGGCGAAGGCAGCUCUCUGGGACGGUACUGACGCUGAGACGCGAAAGCGUGGGGAGCGAACAGG
rnacentral:rRNA from 1 species